UCGCUCCGCUUAUGGUGGAGAGGAAAGUCCGGGCAAUGCAGUGCACCACACCACCUAACGGGUGGCUCCGGGCAACCGGAGAGCCAGUGCCACAGAAAAUAACAGCCGAUGUCGGGGCCAUGCUCCGGCAGGUAAUGGUGAAAAUGUGCGGUAAGAGCGCACGGUCCUGCAUGGCAACAUGUGGGGCGGGCAAACCUUGUGGAUUGAAAGGCCAAGCAGUUGGUGUCAGCCACGCGCUGACCAGGCGGCACGUCUGGUAGCCAACGGGUAGGCCGCUCGACCCCGAUCGUGAGGUCGGGGCUAGAUAAAUGGCAAGGGUCCGCCUAUGGCGGAAACAGAACCCGGCUUACAGGCUUG
rnacentral:RNase_P_RNA from 1 species